CCCUUAGAUGUUCUGGGCCGCACGCGCGCUACACUGAUGCAUUCAACGAGUCUAAAACCUGCUCUGAUAGGGGUGGGUAAUCUUUUGAAUGUGCAUCGUGAUUGGGAUAGAUGAUUGCAAUUUUUCAUCUUCAACGAGGAAUGCCUAGUAAACGCAAGUCAUCAGCUUGCAUUGAUUACGUCCCUGCCCUUUGUACACACCGCCCGUCGCUCCUACCGAUUGAAUGAUCCGAUGAAUAUCAUGGAUUGAGGAUGCAAGCAGGUUCGCCUGUCUUCAUCUUCGAGAAGUGAAGUAAAUCUUAUCAUUUAGAGGAAGGAGAAGUCGUAGCA
rnacentral:rRNA from 1 species